GCGGGACUGCCCGGCACGAGCCUUCGAUAUCCCUGAGGCUAUAAGCAAAUCCAAGGGAGCUGUCCCUGCCCUGGCCCACCGGUUCGGCCGUGGGGUCGGGGCAUACGGCACCCACCUGACCCUUAGGCGUCAGUGGAUUCUCCCGGCAAACGACCCAUGGUGGUCCCGCC
rnacentral:other from 1 species